AGUAAUGUCUGGGAAACUGCCUGAUGGAGGGGGAUAACUACUGGAAACGGUAGCUAAUACCGCAUAACGUCUUCGGACCAAAGUGGGGGACCUUCGGGCCUCACGCCAUCGGAUGUGCCCAGAUGGGAUUAGCUAGUAGGUGGGGUAAUGGCUCACCUAGGCGACGAUCCCUAGCUGGUCUGAGAGGAUGACCAGCCACACUGGAGCUGAGACACGGUCCAG
rnacentral:rRNA from 1 species